GGGAGAGACACUCUGCGUGUUACUGACAGGGAGAGACACUCUGCGUGUUACUGACAGGGAGAGACACUCUGCGUGUUACUGACAGGGAGAGACACUCUGUGUGUUACUGACAGGGAGAGACACUCUGCGCGUUACUGACAGGGAGAGACACUCUGCGUGUUACUGACAGGGAGAGACACUCUGUGUGUUACUGACAGGGAGAGACACUCUGCGCGUUACUGACAGGGAGAGACACUCUGUGUGUUACUGACAGGGAGAGACACUCUGCGCGUUACUGACAGGGAGAGACACUCUGCGUGUUACUGACAGGGAGAGACACUCUGCGUGUUACUGACAGGGAGAGAC